rnacentral:rRNA from 1 species
ACUCCUACGGGAGGCAGCAGUGGGGAAUAUUGGACAAUGGGGGCAACCCUGAUCCAGCAAUGCCGCGUGAGUGAUGAAGGCCUUCGGGUUGUAAAGCUCUUUUAUCAGGGACGAUGAUGACGGUACCUGAUGAAUAAGCUCCGGCUAACUUCGUGCCAGCAGCCGCGGUAAUACGAGGGGAGCUAGCGUUGUUCGGAAUUACUGGGCGUAAAGGGCGCGUAGGCGGUAUCAUAAGUCAGAUGCGAAAGCCCCGGGCUUAACCUGGGAUGUGCAUUUGAAACUGUGGAACUAGAGAUCGAGAGAGGAAAGUGGAAUUACGAGUGUAGAGGUGAAAUUCGUAGAUAUUCGUAAGAACACCAGUGGCGAAGGCGACUUUCUGGCUCGAAACUGACGCUAAGGCGCGAAAGCGUGGGGAGCAAACAGGAUUAGAUACCCUGGUAG